ensembl:lncRNA
AUAUUUUCCUCUACAGUGGGAACUGGACUUAGAGAUAAGAUCCCAAACUGCUUGCUGAUUCGUUUAUGAUGGCAAAAUAGCAAGUAUAUUUGUGACCCUGGACCACAAAACCAGUUAUAAAUUUGUAGCAACAGCCAAUAAUACAUUGUAUGGGUCAAAACUGUCGUUUUUUAAAGCCAAAAAUUAUUAGGAUAAGUAAAUAUCAUGUUCCAUGAAGAUAUUUUGUACAUUUCCAACCGUAAAUAUAUCCAAACUUCAUUGUUGAAUAGUAAUGUGCAUUGCUAGAACUUCGUUUGAACAACUUUAAAUGCGAUUUUCUCAAUAUUUCUAUAUUUAUUUAUUUUUUUGCGCCCUCAGAUUCCAGAUUCCUUAUUUAUUCUUAUAUAUCAGAUUUAUGUGUAACAAAAUGUUGAUCAGGUUCUGAAUAAAAACCCAACCCAAGCAUUAUCUUAAGUCCAUCUUUUAUGUUUUUGUUUAUAUCAUUUUUUCCUCGAAUUUGUUCCAUUUGGUUCGCCGAAGAGCAUAUUAACAUCAUAACGCAGUCGGUUUAUUACUGUGGGAUGUUUAGCCACUGGGCCACGCCCACCCCACCCCCCAACGAUUGGACACGCCCCCAAGCCGACUCUGCAGCCAAUCAGCGUCGCCCAGUCCUCCCAUUCCACAAUACUUGGUUCUAUGCAGACGUAUUGUUAUGCAAACUAGUUCGUCUAAAAUAUCCCCCUGGCAACGCAGCUCUGGGCAGAGAAUCACCGGGACCGCGCGACGGACAAACAACAGCGGCCAAGCGGCAGUUUUUGAGUCACUUCUUCCCGUCCAAACGUCAAGAUUACCCCUUGCCAAAUAAAGCACCGCGGGACGCGAGAGACACAUUUCCUGAGGUAUACUAGCGUUACCUCAGACGUCUCUAAAAGCUAACGGCCCUCGAUGCGCUUAAUCGGAGAUACACGCCUGCUUUCCCACACUUAUUAACUCCAUAUUCUGCCAUAACCUGGUGCUGCUACUGAGAGACACUCACACACACGGAGAAUUACACUUUUGUGGAUGAUUGUACUUUCUCGCUAGGUCUUUGGAUAUAUAGCCACCGACUGCAUUUGCACACCAAGUGUGUCGUUUACUUGUCCUUUUUGGGAUAUACGCUCGUUUUAUUUCUAGUCUCACUCGUCUAAGCUGGUUUUAGUCCAGUCAAGCCGCGACUAUCCCAGUACUAUAAAGGCUGCGGAGAGCAUCAUGAGCCAGGCGGAGAUAUCGACGUGCUCGGCGCCGCAGAGAGUCUUCCAGGAGGCGGUGAAGAAAGGCAACACGAAGGAGCUCCAUUCGCUGCUGCAGAACAUGACCAACUGCGAGUUUAACGUUAAUUCGUUUGGCCCCGAGGGACAGACAGCGCUGCAUCAGUCGGUGAUCGACGGGAAUCUGGAGCUCGUUAAACUGCUGGUGAAGUUCGGAGCCGAUAUACGGCUGGCGAACCGGGAGGGCUGGAGCGCGUUGCACAUCGCCGCUUUCGGAGGACACCAAGACAUCGUGUUAUACCUCAUCACCAAGGCCAAGUACUCCUCCGGCGCGCGGUGAUCCGGUAGAAGCACGCGUUUCAUUCUAGCGUUGUGAUCUGCCAAGCUCGAGUUCCCUUGUACCUUAAAACCAAAUGAGGGCUGUAGCCUUUUUCUUUCCCGUGUCAGAUCUGGCGAUGAGAGGAACUGAAACGCAUGCUGUUGGGGAUGUGCGUUGGUACUAUAGCUUUUUAUUGAAUGUGUAAGUCAUCAGAUCUGGACUGUGUGGCUUAACCAGGGCUUGACCUGUUGACCUGUCCACCUGGAGAAAUCGAGAUAGCACUUGAUGCUGUGGCUGAAUGCUGGAAUAGUUGCAAGAGGUGUGUGAAGGCCAUCCUCUGUUUUGGCUAAACACUCUUUUAACACGAACCAUAAGUCGUUUCAUCAAUCAAAUCGUGUGGCAUUGGUGACCAGUGCUGAAAUAUGUCCUCGAAAUAACAAGUGACUCAUUCCUAAGUACUGUACACAUAGCUUUACUGUGUUUUUUCUCUGUACAAGUAGUCUAUUGCGCUCUGCCUUCACCUAGCAGACGGCUUCCAUACAGCUUUCAGGCCAGUGCAACCCAUGUCUAUGGUUAACAUGUUACUAAAAACCGCUGCUUUCGCCUUUUUUGUAUCAAAACAUCAGGAAAGUCGCCUUUGGGACACACUUUAUAAUCUUCUUUCAGUAUUUUGAAUUAACACCCUGGUCAUCACUGUGAAUACAGGCUGGGUUUGUCUUUUUAUUUAUGAAGGUACAUUGAGAUAAUGCAUUUAAAUUAUGUUGUGGUUAUUUUUAAGACUAUAGCCUAAGUGUAAAAGUAUGUAGGGUGACCUAAAGCUGCUUCGGACUCGUUACAGGCUAAACUGUCCCGUGUGGAGAUUCCGCGCCACGGCCCCCCACGUGCACACCUUUUUUUCCCGGGAAAAAUGCAUCCCCUUCUACUUUUUAUCCUGGUUCUCUGCAUCAGCUACCUCGACUUGAAAGUAUUCGAAUAUCAUGUGCUCUCUUUCUCAAGCCUUCUCCUUAACUGUGCUCAGUUACCCACUAGUGCUCGUUUUCUGGUCAACAGAAUCAGUAGGCUCUGUCCGGGUCGUUUUACUUGAUGUUUUCUUACUGUCAUCCUCGUUUUUUGUUUUACAAUCUUCACUCGGGACAAUUUAUCUCCUUGAACCAAAAUUAAGAUCCAUUGGUUAUUCAAAAAAAAACAAAAAAUUUUUCUUUCGCCAAGCGUGGUUGAGACAUUAUAUAUGUAGGUUUUAUUUCAGCCGAUUGCUUCAUUUUUGCAUUGUCAUUUUUGGUUUCUGUUGUAGUUACAAAAAGUGAAAUGCAGUGCAUGACUAUUAAAAUGCAGGGAGUUUUGUUGCACAUAAAUGUGGAGCCUUUUACGCCCCCUAGUGCCUGGUCGGGUAACUGCAGGAGCUGAGGCUUACCAAUAGUUACUACUGAGCAGGACUACAUGAACAUUGAGAAGAAGACUAUGACUUCUGUUGCAGGAAACAUCGACAGAUUUGUUCAAAAAAGACUGCCUGCCGCCUUUAAGAGUCAUGGCACCUGAUGUUUGUUUCAAUGCUGCUUCUAUGUAAUUUUUUUUUCUUGAUACAAUGGCCAACGGUGAGUGAAUGAGGACAAGUAUCAGUUAGAUAUAUCAUUUUUUUUGUCGUUGUUUUUGCGAGAAGCCCCAUGCAGUUGUGUGAGCAUGUGUGUUUGCACUCGUGUCUUGCCACAGUCCAGUGGCGUUGCUGAUGUUUCCAGCCCCCCGUCGCUCAACCUGGUUAACCAACCGGGAACUCCUCGUACACCUGGCGAUGCAACCGAUGUGAUUCUCACGAUCAUCUAUUCGAUUGGUAUAGGCAGAACAAAUAUGCAUCGCUUGUCUUAAACUUGAUAUUUUUACUCUUGUUGAAAAUAUUGCACUGAUGACUGUUGUUAAUUCGUUGGCUUCAGGUCAACAUUUUAUUUUUUCUAAAUAGAAAAAAAGGAACACAACAUAAUACUAUUGUAUAAAAAAAAAAAAGCUCCAGGUUAUAUUGUCUCUGUUUGUGUGUUACAUUGUAUAACAUUACGUUUGCAAAGAUGUUUGUAUCUCUGUGAUCGGGUGUAUGUGUAUACAUAUAUAGUAUAUAUAUAUGGAUAUAUAGACUCUGAUAUCUCAGAGCACUUUCUUAUUUGAAGUGCUCUCCUCCUGAUGUUAAUAAAGGGGAAUAAUACUUGUGAUGGUAAGAUCA